rnacentral:lncRNA from 1 species
AAAUACAAAAACUUCAUUAAAGGAGCAAAACAAUUUGUCCUUUAGUGAUUUUGGGCCUUUACGUAAAAACGUAAACUUUUGGGUCAAAGUGCAAAUACACAAAAGUAUCAAAACUUUAUGUAAUUGCAUAAAAGCCCCAAAAGUACCCUACUUUUAGGGUGGCCGGUUUUGGUGAGAGUUUUGUCAGAAAACUUUUGAAAUUUUUCAACAAAGUGAAAGGUGAUGAGUUGGUUUGAAAAAGUAGGUUUCCAUAAAACAUGGUUCCUUGAAAC